rnacentral:rRNA from 1 species
GACGAACGCUGGCGGCGUGCCUAACACAUGCAAGUCGAACGGAGUUUGCGAGACUGAAUUCUUCGGAAGGACGAUUUGUAAACUUAGUGGCGGACGGGUGAGUAACGCGUGAGCAACCUGCCUUUCAGAGGGGGACAACAGUUGGAAACGACUGCUAAUACCGCAUAACGUCAAGUUUAGACAUCUUUACUUGACCAAAGGAGCAAUCCGCUGAAAGAUGGGCUCGCGUCCGAUUAGAUAGUUGGCGGGGUAACGGCCCACCAAGUCGACGAUCGGUAGCCGGACUGAGAGGUUGAUCGGCCACAUUGGGACUGAGACACGGCCCAGACUCCUACGGGAGGCAGCAGUGGGGAAUAUUGCACAAUGGGCGAAAGCCUGAUGCAGCAACGCCGCGUGAGGGAAGAAGGUCUUCGGAUUGUAAACCUUUGUCCUAAGUGAAGAAACAAAUGACGUAGCUUAGGAGAAGCCACGGCUAACUACGUG